GAUGAACGCUAGCUACAGGCUUAACACAUGCAAGUCGAGGGGAAACGAUAUUGGAAGCUUGCUUCCGAUAGGCGUCGACCGGCGCACGGGUGAGUAACGCGUAUCCAACCUGCCCAUCACUUGGGGAUAACCUUGCGAAAGUAAGACUAAUACCCAAUGAUAUCCGUCGAAGACAUCUGAGGCGGAUUAAAGAUUCAUCGGUGAUGGAUGGGGAUGCGUCUGAUUAGCUUGUUGGCGGGGUAACGGCCCACCAAGGCAACGAUCAGUAGGGGUUCUGAGAGGAAGGUCCCCCACAUUGGAACUGAGACACGGUCCAAACUCCUACGGGAGGCAGCAGUGAGGAAUGUUGGUCAAUGGACGAGAGUCUGAACCAGCCAAGCAGCGUGCAGGAUGACGGCCCUAUGGGUUGUAAACUGCUUUUAUAAGGGAAUAAAGUGGGAGUCGUGACUCCUUUUGCAUGUACCUUAUGAAUAAGGACCGGCUAAUUCCGUGCCAGCCGCCGCCGUAA
rnacentral:rRNA from 1 species